rnacentral:rRNA from 1 species
UACGGAGGGUGCAAGCGUUAUCCGGAUUUACUGGGUUUAAAGGGUGCGUAGGCGGAUUGGUAAGUCCGUGGUGAAAUCUCUAAGCUUAACUUGGAAACUGCCAUGGAUACUAUUAGUCUUGAAUAUUGUGGAGGUUAGCGGAAUAUGUCAUGUAGCGGUGAAAUGCAUAGAUAUGACAUAGAACACCAAUUGCGAAGGCAGCUGGCUACACAAAUAUUGACGCUGAUGCACGAAAGCGUGGGGAUCAAACAGG